rnacentral:ncRNA from 2 species
CAAACAAUCAAAUAAAAAACUCGUAUAAAAUUGGGGAUAUGGCCCAAAAGUUUCUACCAGGCUGCCGUAAAUGGCUUGACUACGAGUGCAAAGAUAUGUCGU